rnacentral:rRNA from 1 species
UACGGGGGGGGCAAGCGUUGUUCGGAAUUACUGGGCGUAAAGGGCUCGUAGGCGGCCAACUAAGUCAGACGUGAAAUCCCUCGGCUUAACCGGGGAACUGCGUCUGAUACUGGUUGGCUUGAGUAUGGGAGAGGUGAGUGGAAUUCCUGGUGUAGCGGUGAAAUGCGUAGAUAUCAGGAGGAACACCUGUGGCGAAAGCGGCUCACUGGACCAUAACUGACGCUGAGGCGCGAAAGCUAGGGGAGCAAACAGG